GAAAGUGGGCUUGUGUCUGGAGAGCAAACAAGUGCCCAGCUCAGGAGUGAUGUGGGCAGGGAACGCUGUGACACUGUGACAUCACAGUUCCCCUGCCCCAGGGGCUGCCAUCGCCUGCAUGGUCACAGAGCUCACAAUGCUUAGGGGGUGACAAAUCAGCAAGCAUCCCAAAUGCUCCUAAAAUACAUAUUUAUAACUAAGUGACUUGUUAGUACACAGUGUUUUACAAGUACACGAUACCACAUACCCAAAGCAGUUGCAAACACAGUCGCUGCCUCAUGCCUCCCACGUGUCCCCUUCUCAUUCCCAUCUCAUCUCAACUAACUGCACAUCAUUCAGCUUUCUUUUGGCUUCAGCUCCCUGCUGUGAGUGUGUAGCAAGUUGCCUUAUCUCGUGCUCAUUCACCCUGUCUCUGCCAGACCUGCUGCCAGCCUGACAGACACAGCAAUACCGAGCUGUUCCUGGCCAUGCCUCGACUGAAAAAGAGCACUGUGCAUCAUGGAAAAAGAAAGGAGCCCAACAAAACACUUCUCAACUGGGGCCUAAGACAAUAAACGAGCUGCUGUUCUGUGGCAUUCAUCCUGUAAAUCCAGAUACAUUUUUUCUUUGUACUUUUUCAAGAUCGUAUUUACAAAACAUUUGAAGAACAGGCGCAAUGACAGUUUAAUUAAUGUGUGUCAUUAAGCCUGGAGAUAAUCGAAACUCUGGUAAGUCUUUAAUCUUGUAGAAAAGAAUCAGAGUGCGCUGAAACAUCUCCUGCUAUCUGUGAACCUCGUAAUGCGGUGCUGCAUCCUUAAAGGAGGAGCCAUGGAAAGGAACAGCGCCAGAAGAUGUGUUCUCAGCAGAUUUCAUCACUGGACUCGAGGGAUAUUGUUCUUGGCAAGGAGGAUGUGACUGAAAUCCAAAGGGAUCAAAACGUGUUCUUCUGCUAUCAGUGUAUAAAGUGGCCCUACUAAUUUGUGGAGAUUUAGCUUCUUUGCUCUUUUAAGUAUCACACAUUUAAAUAACUCAAUUUCCAAUGCUUGCAGAACUUUUUCUUUGUAGCAGAUCAUAUAUGUAAGUCAUGCAGAAAUACUAUUAUUCAAGUAUUCAAAAUGAAUGUUGGACAGUAUUUCAGUGUUGUUUUCAGGAAGAUGAUGAGUCCAACAUCAGAAAACUGCCACUUAGAGGUUUAUCCUAAAUUCUGCUUUCUGUGCUGUCUUAAUCUUUACAUGUUUACAAGUGUAGUUAUGUGUUGUUUGUCCUUACUCAGAGGUUUCAGUGACACUUUAGAGGAUGCAGUGACCAACAGACAUUGACAAGAACUUGAGGAGCUCAGAAAGAAGUGCUCAUUCCUUAAAACUGAAGUUCAGAGCAAACUGUAAUCCACCAGGGCGAAGAGCCCUACUGUAUCUCUAGGGAGACCUCAUUGCAGGCUUCCAGUUCUUGAAGGGAGCUUACAAGAAGGAGAGGCAGGAGGGAGACUGGAUUCUUACGUGGGUAGGUAGUGAUUGGACAAGAUGUUUAAGAGCUUUAGGCUAAAAGAGGGGAGAUUUUGAUUAGAUGUUAGGAGGAAAUUCUUCACUCAGGGGGUGGCGAGGCCCUGGCACAGCUGCCCAGAGAAGCUGCGGGUACCCCAUCCCUGGAGGCUUUCAAGGCCAGGUUGGAUGGGGCCCUGGGCAGCCUGAGCUGGUGGGGGUUUCUUUUUAAUGUUUUCCUUUUAGAAUUGAACUAUCACGUGCUGCCAGAAGCCCUGAGAAUUGCCCCAUGCCCCAGCAGCCACAGCACUUAGCUUUCGCCCCAUCAGCAUGAAAACAGAUGUGACACAUUUCUUGAGAGCAGGGGACUUCAGUCAAAGAUUAGUAGUGAACUGAGGUUGCCAGGGAAGUAUGGGACCCAGCUGUGCUCUGCUGCAGGCAGGAGCGUGGGCUGUCAGGGUGUCACUGCAGGAGCAAGGGAAAAAUACAUUGAGCCCAAGAGCCUUCAGGACUGAAGAGGUGGUAAAAGUCCUAAGAAAAGUGGAUUUUUUUGUUUUCCUGUAAGUUCUGCUAUCCAUGAGUCUUUGAUACGGUGAGUUUCGCCGUGGGACAAAGAAACUGCAGCAAUGCCUCCUGAAGGCUGAAGGAAAGGUUGAGAUCCUGCUGUCCAACCAGAGAUGUGUUUUGGUGACAGGAAUGCAGGUAGAUGAGGUGUGUAAUUUACUGACUUUGCUUCAGAGAAACUGAUUAAAAUAGGAGAUGCUGUUUGUCAAACUAGCAAAGAGGACAGGUUGGGGAGAUAAAGGAAAGUUGAACGGCUGCACAUUUUCCCCAUCUUCAGAUAAAGCCAUGUUGGUAUACACAAGUACAAUGACUCCUGAACUUUGGCUCCUUUAUUUAUAAAAUAAUAUACUAAUCCCAAUCCCCAGACACACUGAUGUAAUUGAAUGUCAUACUUUCCAAAUAUAAUGGGUUGCAUUCCCAUCAUAAAAUAAAUACAUUCCAGCAGCGAGCCCCACAGCAAAUAACAGAGCUCUGACAGCUGGGGUAGGAGAUACAACAAUUGGGUUCUGUCGCUGAAGCCCAAAAGCAAAGUUUUUGCUGGCAGCAUUCUAGGAAAACCUAUUAUAAUGCAAUGCUACCCAAAAAGUACUCUUUUCUUUCUAGUUCUGUGCUGCAUGCAAAAGUUAUUAAAAAAACACACACACACAUGUAAACAAAACCCCUUUUCCAUAUGAUGUUCUCUACAAUGUUUUCAAAAGUAUAUUGUCUUUUCAGUUUAACAAAAUAUUUGUCAACUUUUAUUUAUAGCUUAAAAGCGUCCCUCAAACUGUCACCAGUUGUCACCAGGAAUGCCUUCUAUAGGCAUGCUGUCAUGAGAAAAGCUCUCCUUUUUGAAGAGUCAUCCUGGAUCCAAGUUCUUACUGAAGCCAAUACACAAGUACCUUCAGCUACCAUUGCAUUUAGAAUCAGACAGCCAUUUUCAAUCUGCGUGAUGUGAAAGUAAGGGUUAAAGACUAUAAAUAACCAAGCAGCAAUGGUUUGCUCACAUGCACUGUUUCUCUCUCUUAUUAAAAAUAAAUACACACUAAAACCAUUACAGAACAUCUUUAUUCUUAUCAAGUGUGUGGGAGGCAAGCAAAAUAUUUGCAACAGUAUGAUAAAACAGGACACCACUCAAUUUCCACGUGACUCAGAGCAUGUUUUUUAAGCUCAGAACUGUAAUGAAAGACAAUGGCACUUCACAAACUGGAUCCCAUAAAUGAAAAAUUGAAAUGUCACAUUGCUAGUGAAUAUUACUAGCACAAAUUCACCAGAAUAAUGUAAGCAGGCAGAUAUGACUCAGGGCAGAUUUCAGACUGCAGUGUUUGAAAGGAACUUUGCUGGGACUCAAAGGAACUCCUGAUACUUUGUGAGACGUCUUCAAGUGUAGCAUAGGACUUUAUUCCCCAUUCUGCUGUUCAAUUACUUGUGGAGAGGUAUAGAGCAGUAGAUGUGCAGUCAAAUAAAAUGUUAGUCCUCUGGAAAGUCCAUGUUUGCUUCAGCUGCCGAACAAAGACUGGUUCCAUGCACUGAUCCUUGCAGGAGCUCAGCGUCUGGUGGUGUCAUCAGCUAACAGAUGUCAAAGCUGAUCCUUUGACUAAAGCCUCCCGCUGAAGUGUAUGUUCAUUUUUGGUUUUGUGAC